rnacentral:rRNA from 1 species
AUUGAACGCUGGCGGCAUGCUUUACACAUGCCAGUCGGACGGCAGCACAGAGAAGCUUGCUUCUUGGGUGGCGAGUGGCGAACGGGUGAGUAAUAUAUCGGAACGUACCGAGUAAUGGGGGAUAACUAAUCGAAAGAUUAGCUAAUACCGCAUAUUCUCUGAGGAGGAAAGCAGGGGACCUUCGGGCCUUGCGUUAUUCGAGCGGCCGAUAUCUGAUUAGCUAGUUGGUGGGGUAAAGGCGUACCAAGGCGACGAUCAGUAGCGGGUCUGAGAGGAUGAUCCGCCACACUGGGACUGAGACACGGCCCAGACUCCUACGGGAGGCAGCAGUGGGGAAUUUUGGACAAUGGGCGCAAGCCUGAUCCAGCCAUGCCGCGUGUCUGAAGAAGGCCUUCGGGUUGUAAAGGACUUUUGUCAGGGAAGAAAAGGCUGUUGCUAAUACCGACAGCUGAUGACGGUACCUGAAGAAUAAGCACCGGCUAACUACGUG